rnacentral:rRNA from 1 species
UACAGAGGGUGCAAGCGUUGCUCGGAAUUAUUGGGCGUAAAGGGUAGGUAGGUGGUCUCGUUUGUCCAGGGUGAAAGCCCCGAGCUUAACUUGGGAAGUGCCCUGGAAACGGCGAGACUUGAGUACUGGAGAGGUUCGCGGAAUUCCCGGUGUAGCGGUGAAAUGCGUAGAGAUCGGGAGGAACAUCAGAGGCGAAGGCGGCGAACUAGACAGUGACUGACACUCAACUACGAAAGCGUGGGUAGCAAACAGG